UCCGGCUUUCACCGGCUGUCUCUUUAGAGUGCCCAGCCUAGCUGCUGGCAACUAAAGAUAAGGGUUGCGCUCGUUGCGGGACUGAACCCAACAUCUCACGACACGAGCUGACGACAACCAUGCACCACCUGUCACCGCUGCCCCGAAGGGAAGGCGCAUCUCUGCGCCGGUCAGCGGGAUGUCAAGCCUUGGUAAGGUUCUUCGCGUUGCUUCGAAUUAAACCACAUGCUCCACCGCUUGUGCGGGCCCCCGUCAAUUCCUUUGAGUUUCAGCCUUGCGGCCGUACUCCCCAGGCGGAGUGCUUAAUGGGUUACCUUCGGCACUGAGGACGGGAAGUCCCCAACACCUAGCACUCAUCGUUUACGGCGUGGACUAC
rnacentral:misc_RNA from 1 species